rnacentral:rRNA from 1 species
GAUGAACGCUGGCGGCGUGCCUAAUACAUGCAAGUCGAGCGAACAGACGAGGAUCUUGCUCCUCUGACGUUAGCGGCGGACGGGUGAGUAACACGUGUAUAACCUACCUAUAAGACUGGGAUAACUUCGGGAAACCGGAGCUAAUACCGGAUAAUAUAUUGAACCGCAUGGUUCAAUAGUGAAAGACGGUUUUGCUGUCACUUAUAGAUGGAUCCGCGCCGCAUUAGCUAGUUGGUAAGGUAACGGCUUACCAAGGCAACGAUGCGUAGCCGACCUGAGAGGGUGAUAGGCCACACUGGAACUGAGACACGGUCCAGACUCCUACGGGAGGCAGCAGUAGGGAAUCUUCCGCAAUAGGCGAAAGCCUGACGGAGCAACGCCGAGUGAGUGAUGAAGGUCUUCGGAUCGUAAAACUCUGUUAUUAGGGAAGAACAAAUGUGUAAGUAACUAUGCACGUCUUGACGGUACCUAAUCAGAAAGCCACGGCUAACUACGUG